rnacentral:lncRNA from 1 species
AUGAGAUGCAAAAGCUGGAGGCGGGGACCAAGUUUUAUCCAUUCACUUGUAAAAACACUCCGGACAGGACCAAAGCUUUUACUUACCGGUCAGGGGAGGGGAAAAAAAAAAAAAAAAGAGGCCAGCGGGGCCGCCUCACCGGGCAGACCGACCGCCACGCGGGCCGCACAGGCACCCUGUUUCGCGGCGUCCCUCCUCCUGCCCCGGGCGAGUGCCCGCUCAGGCCGGGGCCCCGCCGCCGCCGCCGCCGCCGCCCGGCUCACCUGGCGCUCCGAGGACGCCGCCGAGAGCCCUCAGAGAAGCGCGCAGCGCCCGCGAAGCCCGCUCCCCACCACCAUCGCCCCCGCGGGCUCCUACCUGCACGCCAACGUACCUAGAACCGGACCGCGGGGACCGCUGCUCCAGCCCAACCGCCGCCAACCGCCACCACAGAGCAAAAUGACUGUCCCGCCAGGACCGGCUGAGUAGGUGAUCAUUGAGUCUUCUCUGUGGGAAGUACAAGAAAUAAGUCCCUCAACUGGAUUGAAAAAGCCCUCUUCAUCGAAAAGUGGAACUUCCUGCCUUGUGGUCACUGCUGGUUACAAAAAAGAGGCAAGGACAGGCCUUCUAGAAGGUUAGGUCCAACCUACUCCAAGCCCCAAUAUGGUCCGAGAUUCUAGGGAUCACAAAGGUUGACGGUAUUCUCUAUAAUAACAUGAACAAUGUUACACGCUUCUUUGAUUCAGAGUCAGUAGUAGUCCAUGGAAUUUUCCAGAAGCUUCUGGAAAAAUGAAGUAUGAGAUUGCAACAAGAUUGAUUACAGAAGCAGAUGAGAGAAUCCAGUGGUUGUAAGUCAGACAUUAGGGAAAUUGGCAAAAAUGUGAACUAGUGCCAUUAUUUGCACACCCUUUUUGUUUUGGAGACUAAUUUUGAAUAGAGUUUGAGGGUGUAUGUAGGAUUGUUUAGAAAGAGAUGGUAGGGCCGUUGCUAUGGCACAGUAGGUUAAUCCUCCACCUGUGGCACCGGCAUCCCAUACGGGCACCAUUUCUGAUCCCAGUUGCUCCUCUUCCGAUCCAGCUUUCUGCUAUGGCCUGAGAAAGCAAUAGAAGGUGGCCAAAGUCCUUGGGCCCCUGCACCCACGUGGGAGACCGGGAAGAAGCUCCUGGCUCCUGGCUUAAGAUUGGCUCAGCUCCAGCUGUUGAGGCCACUUGGGGAGUGAGGCAGCUGAUGGAAGAUCUUUCUUUCUGUCUCUCCCUCUCACUGUCUGUAACUCUACUUCAAAUAAAUAAAUAAAAUCUUAAAAGAAAAAGAAAGAG